rnacentral:rRNA from 1 species
GUCCACGCCGUAAACGAUGAAUACUAGGUGUAGGGGUAUAGACUCCCUCUGUGCCGCAGCAAACGCAAUAAGUAUUCCGCCUGGGGAGUACGGCCGCAAGGUUGAAACUCAAAGGAAUUGACGGGGGCCCGCACAAGCAGCGGAGCAUGUGGUUUAAUUCGACGCAACGCGAAAACCUUACCAAGACUUGACAUCCUACUAAACUCAUGGAAACAUGAGGUGACUUCGGUCGAGUAGAGACAGGUGGUGCAUGGUUGUCGU